AUUGAACGCUGGCGGCAGGCCUAACACAUGCAAGUCGAGCGAGCGGCGGACGGGUGAGUAAUGUCUGGGAAACUGCCUGAUGGAGGGGGAUAACUACUGGAAACGGUAGCUAAUACCGCAUACCAUCAGAUGUGCCCAGGGUGGAGUAGCUAGUAGGGGGGGUAACGGCCAACCUAGGCGACGACCCCUAGCUGGUCUGAGAGGAGGACCAGCCACACGGGAACUGAGACACGGUCCAGACGCCUACUGUAGGCAGCAGUGGGGAAUAUUGCACAAUGGGCGCAAGCCUGAUGCAGCCAUGCCGCGUGUGUGAAGAAGGCCUUCGGGUUGUAAAGCACUUUCAGCGGGGAGGCGUUACCCGCAGAAGAAGCACCGGCUAACUCCGUGCCAGCAGCCGCGGUAAUUC
rnacentral:rRNA from 1 species